CUACGGGGCGCACCAGUGGGGAAUAUUGGACAAUGGGGGAAACCCUGAUCCAGCAAUGCCGCGUGUGUGAAGAAGGCCUGCGGGUUGUAAAGCACUUUCGGUUGGGAGGACUGCUUCUAGCACUAAUAUUGUUGGAAGUUGACGUUACCUUCAGAAGAAGCACCGGCUAACUCCGUGCCAGCAGCCGCGGUAAUACGGAGGGUGCAAGCGUUAAUCGGAAUUACUGGGCGUAAAGCGCGCGUAGGCGGCUAGAUCAGUCGGGUGUGAAAGCCCCGGGCUUAACCUGGGAACUGCAUCCGAUACUGUCUAGCUUGAGUACAGGAGAGGGGAGUGGAGUUCCACAUGUAGCGGUGAAAUGCGUAGAUAUGUGGAGGAACACCAAUGGCGAAGGCAGCUCUCUGGCCUGAUACUGACGCUGAGGUGCGAAAGCGCGGGGAGCAAACAGGAUUAGAUACCCGCGUAGUC
rnacentral:rRNA from 1 species